rnacentral:rRNA from 1 species
CAUUAUUGAAUAAACUUGAUCAGGUUGUUGCUGGCUCCCCCGAGCAUGUGCACACUUGUCAUCUUUACUUCUCCCCACUGUGCACAUAUUGUAGGCCUGGAAUUCUUGUGAUUAUUUUGUAUAGAUUGAGGACUGCUGUGCUUUAGCCAGCUUUUCCUUGCAUUUCCUGGUCUAUGUUUACCUUCACAACCUCUGAAUAUGUUUAGAAUGUUGGAAUAUAAUAUAUAUAUAUACAACUUUCAGCAACGGAUCUCUUGGCUCUCGCAUCGAUGAAGAACGCAGCGAAAUGCGAUAAGUAAUGUGAAUUGCAGAAUUCAGUGAAUCAUCGAAUCUUUGAACGCAUCUUGCGCUCCUUGGUAUUCCGAGGAGCAUGCCUGUUUGAGUGUCAUCAAUCUCUCAACUACAUCAAUCAUUCUGGUUUGGUGUAGCCUUUGGAUGUGGGGGUUUUAUUUUGCUGGCCUCUAUUAAACGAGGUCAGCUCCCCUGAAAUUUAUUAGCGGUAUCUGAGCAGAGACCUACUACAGGUGUGAUAAAUUAUCUAUGCCUUGGUAAUGCUGCAUCAACAGAUUGUGCUGCUUCCAGUGAAUCAUUUGACAAAUUUGACCUCAAACCAGGUAGGACUACCCGCUGAACUU